ACUUUGGACGUCACGAACAUAUGUCAUGUCAUGCAAUAUUUUUGCUCUCGGUUGUCCGUGGUUGCAAAUGUAGGCGGAGUACAUUUUAAUUUUUAGUUUAUUAGAUCGUUCUCGUUCCACUUUUCGAUAAUUUUCUUUUAUUUUCGUAAACCGCGCUUUGUGUUGUGUUGUCGAUCCAGUUUAAAAAGUGAUGUGUAGUAUCUAAACCUGUGCUUUAGAAAUUCUUUUGUGAUUAUGAUGUCAUAUUUCUGCUUGGAUCCUUAAAAGAUGAGUGUUAGCUUUGAAGCAGACGUGUCCAGUCCCUUGUCCGAGGGGCAGAGCGCUAAUUCUGAAGGGAUAUCUAAAUCCUCCGAGAGUUCAGCGAAAAUCGAAGACCUUGGUUCCGAAGGUAAAGAUGACAAAUCAGAGCUUGAUACACCUAAAGUACAUCCAAUGGCGUUCACUAUCGACUUCGGAGAGUCAAAGAAAGUCGACAAUCGCAGACUUGAAGAGCUAGCCAAGAAAUCCCAAGCCAGGCAUCAAAGAGUUCAAUCUAUGUCUGCCAGUUUAACCAAACCUUCCCCAAUACCCCAAAAGACCCCUAUGAGCGCGAAACUUCCAAGAAAAGCACAGGGCUACAAUUCUGAAGGUUAUUUUUCAUCAGAUCAAGAAGAUAGUGGCUUGUCUGGUUCAGUGAAACUCCGUAAUAGCCCGCUAGCUCAAUCGACACAAAUAACUUCCCCAAUAAUCAAUAGGCAUGUAAAGUCGCCAGUUAUAGUCAAUUUCCAGCCUAAAAGAACGUCCAAAAGUCCAAUUGUUGAUAGUAUUAUGUCUAGAAGUGAGAAUUAUACCGCAAGACAAGAUUUGAGAUUACCAUUGAAGAAUGCAUCUAGUUCCUAUGUAAGAGACAUCCACAGAACACCAAGUUAUGGUAACCUAUCCUCAAGUUAUCAACCGAAGCAUAGUAUAUCAGACAUUGUUGAUCAAAGUCCAGAUGGUGUGAUGUUAACAGAUAUUUCUAGUCCGGAAUUAGACAUUUUGACUCCUGACAAUGGCUUAUCAACACCGGAACUGUCAAAAAGUCCGAUGAUCAGGAAAAAUAGAGCUUCCUCUGAAACACCAGAUUUGUUCAAGAAAUGUUUACCAAAAGUCGAACCGUUGUACAUAGAUGACGAAGUAGACGGACAAUCAAACAAUUCUUCAACUGGUACGUACACUAUUGAAGGUGAUAACUACACAGAGGAACAGAAAGCAAGGAUGAGCAUAGACCGUACAUUCGACACUGAGUUAAUGACUGAUGCUAUAGAGGAAACACUAAAGAAACGUAGUGAAAGAGAUCCAGAACUUGUGUUUGACUACCCAAGUAAACCAGUAAUAACAAAGGAGCCUCGAAGAGACAUAGCUCUAAGAAGUCCAAUAACAAACACAACAUUUGAAUUACCAAAAGUGUCCAAAGACAAAAAUGUACUAGAAAUAUCAUGUUGUUACGAAUCUCCAAACGAAAGUGACUUAGCGGCACAAACAUCAAAACAAAUCAAGUCAACUAGAAGCUAUUUAGAGAAAAUCAAGAACAGAGUAAGAACAAUCACUGAGAAAACCUUCACGAAAUCUCCACCGAAACAAGGAGAAGACGUCGACGUUGGCAGCUUCACAUCGGUCACAACAUCUGGUGUUUUAAGCUCGAAGUAUCCGGUCAAAUUGGAGAAACCGAACCGUAGAUGUAGUCUAACGAAGUCUGAGAUAGAUCAGACAGAUUAUAUUCAUAGGUUGUCUAGAGAGUCUUCAGUUCCAGUUUCACUGCCAAGCUCGAGGCUUGCGGAGGAGACUUUUGAAAGUACAGUGAUGAAAAAUGCUCAGAAAGCGGUCACCGGUGAUUUGAGUCCGGAGAAAGUGGUUGGAAAACUGUCCUAUUUGAGUCUAAAUAGGUGCAAAGGGGAUAAAACCUGGAUACAGGACUGGGCUGAAAGCGUUAAGAAGUAUAAUAACAACGGUUUGGAUGAAGUGGUAUGUGAUGAGAGGCCUCCAAUCAGUCCAAGGCAUCUUAGUGCUAAACCACGGAGUCCCCUUGGUGGCAGCCCUACGAAAAUUCCCAGCCCUGUGGGAACCCUAUUACAUAGGCGAACACCGGAUCUCAUCCCAGUUCAAGACACAGAAUCUUACUUACUAAAAACGCAGACGGCUAUCAGCAAUCUACAAGCGAAACUACAAUCUUCUAGAACUAACAACUUCUCGAACAUUCCAUCUCAACUAACCUCGAGUUUGAUCAGCGAAAAAACUGCCAUUUCUCGCCUGCCAGUCUCACAGCUCAGUCGAUCGAAUUCCCUCAAUUAUCGAUUGAGAAGAAAAGACAACUCGACUGACAGCAGUCCUCUGAGAAGUCCAGGACAUUACGUUAUAACUGGCUCCGCGAAAGUUCCAGAAGGCACUAGGAUAUUAUUGAAUUCUGCUUCGAAAUCUUUAGACACUGAACGGAGGAGAGAUUCAAAUAUGAAUAGUCCUAAUUCCGAAAGGGGACUAUUAAGUAACAGUUCAGACGAUAAAACGCUUCAUCAUUCAAUUCAUUCAUCGAACAAGCCUAAUUAUGACGUAGAAGCGAUAUUAUCACCACAUAGGAAAACUAACGCGCGACACAAAUUCUUAGACGCGAAAAACGAGUUUUUCGGCACCGAUUUCAAUAACGCAAACGAAUCAAUUUGUCUUAAGACAGUAUUAAAGAAUAACGCUAUGGACACUAAAUACCCUAGGAUUGAUCAAACUUGUUGCCAAGGCGAUAGGACUCAUCACAGAGUGUACAGCGAUGGAAGGAAACCUAAUUCCGUCGCGUUCGGUAGCUCAAUAAAAAGAUCUAGCUCAUUCAACACAGUCAACAAAAACAAUAAUUAUAUAGACCCUAGAUUAAUAUCUAGGCGAUCUAGCGGUCAAUCUGAAGAAUAUAAAGAUUAUUUAUCAGAUGAUUCGGAUGGUUCGUUCGAUAAAAGUCAAGGAUUAAGAUAUAAAAGGGUAUAUAGAGGCAGAUUAGAUUCGCCAGAUCUGAAAUCUAUAGCGCCGGCCAAUUCUCCGCGUUGUCCUAAUACGCCUGAAAUGCAGAGGAAAUUCGGGCCGGGAUUGGUAAGGAAUUCUGUCAGAGUGACCAAUAAGGAGAGAGGGAUGAACACAAGGUUGUCUGAACCGCCAAUCGCGAGGGAGGAGAGGAAACCGACCAAUCACCAGAGCAGAAGGAUAUCGGAGCCGACAAGACAAGCGGUUUUCAAUAGGCUGACUAAAUCCAGGUCUUCCACGAGGGAACUCCAGCCAAAGAACCAGGAGAAAGGCCAAAAGAAGCCGAGCCAACAUCGCUCAUCCUCCGCAUUGGCAUCAAAAGAAGCAGAGUACACUAAUUGGAAGAAGAGGUCCUCUUACGAUCCCAUGAAGGCAGCUCAAGAAGGAAGGAGACGGCAGAUGAUGGCGAAGAGACAGGAUAAUAAAGAUGACCUCAGCUCUCCUAGCCACUCUUCCCCUGUUCACCGCUCGCAGUCGUUCCACACUACCAACAUAGCAGAACUAACUCUGGAGUAUUCGUCGUCUGACGAGCAGUUGGUAACACUGCCCGCCGACCCGAUGAUAACUUCGACACAGUCGGACAUUUUGGAUUUGAGCAGACGUCCUGUCAAUAGCGAUGUCGUGUUGAGCAGAGAUUAUGUAGCGAAUUUCAAGAUAAACCAACCAACAGAGAAACCUAAACGUCACAGCGCGGACAAAAGGAAAACUUACAUUGUGGACGACAUUACCCCGACCAAAGAGAACAUAGACUUCCUCCCGAAGCAUAGAGACGAGGCCAUAGACAAGAGGAAAACGUUUAUACUGGACAGUGACACGAAUUCUACUACAAAUGGUAGCAGUCCGAGGAAUUCUAGUAUAUUCAGUCACGAGAAGAAUUCCUUGACCACUGGUACAAGCGACACAGAGGGUGAGAGCGGGACAGAAAGUGCUCCAGUCGUGAUGAGGAAUCCGGGCGGGAAACGUGCGCCCGCGCACGCCAAACAGAGGUACAGCGGUGACUACUCCAUGUCGUCAUCGACCACUUCUAUUGCGCAGAAAAAGCCCGCAAUACAACCGCGAUACUUGGACAUAUCAAAGUAUAAAACAGAGAGCACGGGCAAGAGUUUCCUGAGGCGGGACCCGAGCAAGACGUAUGUGGCGGUGUUGGGGGAGAAAGUCAGUAAGGGCAGCGCGCAGCAACUCGAAAUGGAGCAAAAGAAGCAAGAACUAGAGAAGUGGAAGCGACGGGCGUCUUACGACCCGCGGAAGGCGGCGGCUUUAGGACGCUCCGCGAAAACACCGCCAAAAACCGCCAGAGCGUGAAAGGUGUCAAAAUGCAUGCAAUUCUGGCCAUAGAGAAAAUCGGGCAGCCAUCUUGUCCGUAAGCAGCGUCCUCCGCUCGCAGUCGUUCCACGGCCCAGUGCUGGGCUCAGUGAGCCUGCGGUAUCAACCACCGCAACAGAUCACCGAGAGCUACGACCAUUCGAGCGAUAACGACUUUUAAACGCCAUUGUUGCAAUAGAAUUGAGAGUUUUAGCAUAGAUUUAUUGCUAAAUUAUUCUUUUUUUUUUACUUUUUUUUUACAUACUUUGGAAAUAAAAAUAAAAAAACGAUCAAAUCGGUUUUUUUUUUUGGGAAAAUUUCAAAAUAUUUGAAAAACUUCGGCCAAAUACGUUAUUUCGUUAGUUUUAAGAUACGCAUUUGCAUUAGCAAGCUUUAUGUUAAGAACUUCCAAAGCAAAUGAAGAAAUUAUACAACAUUUGCAAAAGUUGCCGACGGAAGUUAAACUUACAUAAUUAUAUAAAGUAAAGGCGACCUAUAAUAAUAUAAUCUUGUUAUAUUUAAGUUUUCUAUCGCUUUAAACUCCACUUUCUCAUUUUUUAAUAUCAAUAAAAUUUGUGUGAUGUAUGGCUAACUGUAGCUUUUGAGAUGUCUCCAAAUAUUUAGAUUUAUUAGUAUUUCCCAGGUGUUCAUAUAUGUUGUUUUAUUUCGAAACCUAUUUGUAUUUUCUCCGAUUAAAAAUAUGAAAUACAUUCAAUAUGUCGCUACUAAAAUGGUAAGUAUAUUUUUUGCUAUAUUUCUGCCAAAUGAAUCACUAUUUUUAAAUCAGAAUCAAUUUUUUAAAUAUUGUUUUCAAAACGCUCAAAUCUAUUGUAAAUAGGGCGUAAAAGACGACGAAAGUCGAAUACGAUGGCAAAUGUGAUAAUGGUGUGUGAAUGUUCGAAUUUUUAUAUUGUCUAUGGUUAGUAUAUUCAUUGAGUUUUAGAGUGUGUGCGCUUAUUGUUACUGUCUAUGGAAAAAGGCAUCUUUUAGAAUUUUCUGUGCUAUUUUUGACAUAUGCAAAUUUACGCGCCAAAAUGUUGUUUAAGCGCCAAUUUUGUUCAAAUGUAAGGUUACUCUCUUGUUAAGGUUAUUUUAUUAAUAUUGACUAUGAAGUGCUAUGAGUAAACUCAUGGAUUUGGGUCGAUGCAAUGUUUAGUUUUAUAUUUAUCAUUUUUGUUUCACGUUGAUACUGAUUUAUGCACAACAUUUAUUUUUUACAAUUGGAUAUUCUUCAAAUUCCACUUAAGUUGAUGAAUUAUUUGUUGUACUUUGGCUAGAAAUAAAUAUAUUUAAUUACUUAAAUGUGAUAAUUGUAGAAUUACUUAUGGAAUUAUUAGUAUCAAUGUCGAGAAUAAGUUUUUUUAAAUGCUUUAAUCGCGGUAUUAUUUCGAAAUAGAGAUGUUUUUGCUCAUAUCAUUCAUAUACAUCGAUGUAGUGAUUAGUGUUUUUUUUUUAGUAUAUUUUUGUCAUAUAUUUAAUCUUUGUUUUAGUGCAAUAUAUACAUCACACGAUAUGUCAUAUGUUAUGAUUAUAAAAAGUGAAAUUAUAGUUAUUAGUGGUAUACAAUGGAAUUGUAGGAAUUUAUUCGUAAUAUGUACUGUUAAUGUUAAUAAAAAUACAAAAGAACUAGAUAUAUCAUGUAUCGAUACACGGAAUCUGGCCAAUUUUACAAAAUGAACAAAAAAAUAUUUUCUAUUUCUAUUUUUAGUAGUAGAUAUACACAUUCUUUCGAUAAUACUCAGUUUUUUUUUCAAUUUAUUCAUAAACAAAGUAGUAUUUUCUUUUUAAUUUGAAUUGAAAUGAAAACACGUCGCUUUUGAUUACUUCUUCUUCAGUAUUUUUACAUGCGAAAUCUAAAAACAAAGUAUUUUUUUUGUAUGGAUUAUCUACACUCAUUUGCGUUAAAUUUAACAAAUAGUACAAUUUUUACUUUUGCUUAUUAUGAAAACAACAAAAAAAAAUUAUUUUUUAAAACUGGUUAUUAAUGUGCAUCUGACAAAAUAAGUAUUAAUGUAUAAUUAUCAUCAAAUGUUGUUAUUUUUGCCCGUCCUAGCUUUGACCAUGUCACUGCAAAGCUUACUAAGUUGCAUUGUAAAAAGCUCGCCGCGAGCGUAGAUAUAAGCCCUAUUGAUGUUUAGAAUUUCAUAAGAAUAUUUAACAGAAAUUAAUAAAAUAAAGUAUGAAAUAUUA